rnacentral:rRNA from 1 species
AUGAGCUUUUGGUGCUGCAAUCAGUUGCGCCCUUCGACGAUGGAGUUGUAUCUGUGCACGCCGGAGCUGCCACCGGCGUUUUUGGGAGCUGCAAGGUCAACGACGACGAGCAAGGGCGGCGGCACCGUGCUAUCAUGGGCGGUGACCUCGUGUCUCUCCGGCGCAAGCACAACAGGCUACCUGAUUAGUCUAAGUCACUGGCUAGCUAGUUUGUUGCUUUGGCAAUUGUACGUAGAUUCAUGCAAGCAGAAACGCAUCGGUCUAGGGGCGUGUUUGGUUGCCUGGGUGGCUUUCAGCUGCAUUGCAUGGAGGAUCCAGGCUGAGCAUGGCCAGGCUAAGGCGAUGCAAAGUUGCGUCGUGAUGUAUGUUUGGUGA